GCCGGUAUAGCUCAAUUGGUAGAGUAACUGAUUUGUAAUCAGUAGGUUGAAGGUCCGAUUCCUUCUGCCGGCA
rnacentral:tRNA from 1 species